rfam:Triticum aestivum genome assembly, contig: Triticum_aestivum_CS42_TGACv1_scaffold_645495_T_4BL-0.093707_4BS-0.067270
UAUGUACUCCCUCUGUCCGAAAAUACUAGUCGAAGAAAUGGAUGUAUCUAGACGCAAUUUAGUUUUAUAUACACCCAUUUUCAUCCAUUUCUCUAACAAGUAUUUUCGGACGGAGGGAGUACUAC